GAUUCCCUUAGUAACGGCGAGCGAACAGGGAAUGGUCCAGCGCCAAGUCUUGACAUUUAGGUGUUCAAGAGAUGCGGCGUUAAUGUGUUGGCGCAUCGUGCGUUGUUCCAUGUUUCAAGUUCCCUUGACUGGGACAUCCAGAGUGGGUGCCAGGCCCAUAGAGACAAGGAACUGACGUAUGCAGGCCGAUGCAUUCUAGAGUCAGGUUGCUUGAGAGUGCAGCUUAAAGUCGGUGGUAAACUCCAUCCAAGACUAAAUAUGACAGCGAGACCGAUAGCAAACAAGUACCGUGAGGGAAAGUUGCAAAGCACUUUGAAGAGAGAGUUCAACAGUACGUGAAACCACUGGGAGGCAAACAGAUGGAACCACGAAGUGUGCGCCUUGAUCGAUUCAAUCAACGCCAUUGGUCAGUGGUGUUCAUUWUGGAUCUCUUCGGAGGUUGAAUGAAUAUUAUUCGGACCGAUGACGUUGGUGCAUUUCGUGUCAGGGAUGCUAAGCCACGUUCGACUAGCUGGUUGGGACGGCCGUAGGACAGGGCGCAAGAAAGGUGCCCGUCAGRUGCUUGCAUUUGGCGGCGUUAUAGUCUUGYRCCGGAACCGUCGCCUAACAUACUGGUCGAUAGAAUUGCUCCGAUUGGAGUUGAACUGUGUUUGCCUACGAUGGUUAGUCGUCGUUUAGAGGCGUUCUUUGCGUAUCUUUGGGUGCGAAAAGSCGUUUCGACAAUUGCGGCUAGCUGUUGUUUGCGUAACAUGGUGGAACUGUGGCGCGAGUAGGUCGGUGUCCAUCUGACCCGUCUUGAAACACGGACCAAGGAGCCUAUCAUAUACGCGAGUCGCUCGGUCUUGUUUAGGCCCGGGAGGCGAAAUGAAAGUAAAGUUACGAGGCCGCAAGGUCGCAGUAACGGCCCGCCUACUCCGUUUAUUGGCGGUCGGGCGGAGCUGGAGCGUAUACGAUGGUACCCGAAAGAUGGUGAACUAUGCCUGGGCAAGACGAAGCCAGAGGAAACUCUGGUGGAGGUCUGUAGCGAUUCUGACGUGCAAAUCGAUCGUCAGACCUGGGUAUAGGGGCGAAAGACUAAUCGAACCAUCUAGUAGCUGGUUCCCUCCGAAGUUUCCCUCAGGAUAGCAGGCGCUUGUUGUAUAGUCUCAUCCGGUAAAGCUAAUGAUUAGAGGUCUUGGGGUUGAAACGACCUCAACCUAUUCUCAAACUUUAAAUGGGUGAGAUGGUCGACUUUCUUGAUUGAAGCCGACCAUUCGGAUAAAAGUGCCUAGUGGGCCAUUUUUGGUAAGCAGAACUGGCGCUGUGGGAUGAACCAAACGUCGAGAUAAGGCAUCAAAUGCNUACGCUCAUCAGACCCCAUAAAAGGUGUUGGUUGCUAUAGACAGCAGGACGGUGGCCAUGGAAGUCGGAAUCC
rnacentral:rRNA from 1 species